UGGAUCUUAUUAAUUUUCCAUUCAAUUAUCGUUUAAAGAGCUGGCGAAAUUGCACGAACGUAACAUGGGCCAGAAAUUAAGUACUGAGCGAAACGGUUUUUAUGUUGUAAAUGUUCUACAAAAUAAAAGAAUUUCCAUGGCGCAUAAUAAAAAUAUUUUAAAUAUUUGUGUCAACGAAAUAAAAAUAAAAGAAGAGAAAUUAUUCGUUUGAAAGAAGUUCAAAAGAGUAAAGUAAAGUCGGCAUAUGUUACACAGCAUCAAUGUAAAACGUAUAGAAAGUUUAGACAAACCGUAGAUAAAGUUUGCGUCUGUGCAAACGACAGACCAAUAUCGUAAUUGACUUCGGAACUGUUGGCACAGAGGUCCUCAACUUAAUAUCAACAAAAAACUUUGCACGCAUCAUUGAGAAAUUAAAGAUACCUCACGUGGGCUAUCUCUUUGACGAGGAGUAUAUCAUCACAAUUGGACUCAGGACAAUUAUUACAUUAUUUAGCCCAGAAUUAGAUGAAAUUAUAAAUGAAUUAUGUUGCAAUAGUUUAUUCAAUUUGAUUGAAUUAAUGUAUAAUAAAAAAAUAUAUACUACCAAAGUAUCAACAACUUAAAAUUCAC
rnacentral:misc_RNA from 1 species